UCUCUGCAAACCCCUUCUUCUCCGAUCGACUUUCACUUCCUUCUAUGUGCAAACCCUAAUCAAACAUAACACAUUUGAAAUAGUAAUAUCUUCUUUCAUUUUCUCCCCUACUACUCUCUGUAAAACCUAGCAGCCGCCACCACUAGAAACAUGGAAAAUCCCCCAAAAUUUUGAAGUACCCCGCUCACUCCUCUCAAUAUCUCUUGCGCUUUCGUAUUUAUAGCCAGAGUUGGAGAGCGAAAAGAAGAAAGAAGAAAGAAAUGAUGUGAGGGUGUGAGGUGGCGUUCAAAGGUUGUCAAGGGGUUGUGAGGAGCUAUAGGGCUCAAGUUCGAGGUUGAAGAUUAGAAACCGAAGGUUGAAGAUCAGAUUUGGGAUUAGAUGAGUCGCUGGUACAACUGACGUCGUCGUGGUGUAGGUCAGAUGAGUCGCCGGAGUCCAGGCCAAGUAACAGUGUCGCUGGAGUUUCGGGAAGCUAACGAUGUCAUCAAUUCGAGUGCAGGUGAUGUGCCGAUUAUUGAUUUUGGAUCAAUUACUAACUGUUUGCCAUUUUCUUUCUAGAAAAUCAAUGUAGUGUCUGCUUCUUAAUCUUGUUCUCUAUGAGUACCAUUGUUACCGUCUCUGGUAAAAACAUCUAACCAUAUGCCAGAUUCGUUGAUUCAGGCUACAAAAGUACCUGUUAAAGAGUAUAAGUUUGAUGAAAAGAAGAUGGCAAAUGUGCAGUCUCAUCUGGAAAAAUUGGUUGCCAAUAACUAUUACUUGAACAGGUCUCCAAAAGAUGCGUACAGAUAAAUAUAUUAUUCAUGAAGUGAAGGCAAGAAUAGUUGAAUGGUAUAUGAUUAUGAACAGGGGCAAAUGCGUAAAACAAAUUAUGAUUUUUUUUAUUAUGGAUGGUGCACAGGACAAGGGCAGGCUGGUCAAGACUGGAAGCUUUACACAUUCAUAUCCAUUUUGUUGAAGAUCUGAUACCCCUCUUAUCUACAGAGCAGUUCCCAUGAUGAGCAGUUGCUUGAAGCAGCUUGGUGUCUUACAAACAUAGCUGCUGGAAAACCUAAAGAAACAAGAGCUUAAUUGCCUGCAUUACCUUUACUCAUUGCUCAAAUUGGAGAGUUCAGUGCCUGUUGCAGAGCAGUGUGCUUAAGCAUUAGGAAAUGUUGCAGGAGAAGGUGAAGAACCGAGACAAAUUCUGAUUUCUCAAGGGGCAUUACUUCCUCUUGCAAAAAUGAUGUUGCCAAAUAAAGUUUCAGUUAACGGGUGAACCAAGUUUCUCUGAAAUGGCGACAGCAUUGUCAGGGCCUCCUUAUAUCUUUGUUUCUACUCCAGCUUGUGUCCAAAGAUGUCUUUCAUCAGGUGUUCUUCAAGCAAAAUCCGUU